AACGAACGCUGGCGGCGUGGAUAAGACAUGCAAGUCGAACGGGAGUUUAUUUAUAGCAAUAUGAGUGAACUCUAGUGGCGAAAGGGUGCGUAACACGUGGCUACCUACCUCGAAGUUGGGGAUAGCUCGGCGAAAGCCGGAUUAAUACCGAAUGUGACCGUAAGGUCAAAGCUGGGGAUCGUAAGACCUGGCGCUUUGAGAUGGGGCUGCGGCCUAUCAGGUAGUUGGCGGGGUAACGGCCACCAAGGCUUCGACGGGUAGCGGGUCUGAGAGGACGAUCCGCCCGACUGGGACUGAGACACGGCCCAGACUCCUACGGGAGGCAGCAGUUGGGAAUCUUGCACAAUGGGCGAAAGCCUGAUGCAGCGACGCCGCGUGGAGGACGAAGUCUCUCGGGAUGUAAACU
rnacentral:rRNA from 1 species